rnacentral:rRNA from 1 species
CCUACGGGAGGCAGCAGUGGGGAAUAUUGGGCAAUGGGCGCAAGCCUGACCCAGCAACGCCGCGUGAAGGAAGAAGGCUUUCGGGUUGUAAACUUCUGUUGUCAGGGACGAAGCAAGUGACGGUACCUGACGAAUAAGCCACGGCUAACUACGUGCCAGCAGCCGCGGAAAUACGUAGGAGGCAAGCGUUAUCCGGAUUUACUGGGGGUAAAGCGCGUGUAGGCGGGGAAGCAAGUCAGAUGUGAAAACCACCGGCUCAACCUGUGGACUGCAUUUGAAACUGUUUUUCUUGAGUGCAGGAGAGGCAAUCGGAAUUCCGUGUGUAGCGGUGAAAUGCGUAGAUAUAUGGAGGAACACCAGUGGCGAAGGCGGCUUGCUGGACUGUAACUGACGCUGAGGCGCGAAAGCGUGGGGAGCAAACAGGAUUAGAUACCCCUGUAGUC